GACGAACGCUGGCGGCGUGCCUAACACAUGCAAGUCGAACGGAAAGGCCCUGCUUUUGUGGGGUGCUCGAGUGGCGAACGGGUGAGUAACACGUGAGUAACCUGCCCUUGACUUUGGGAUAACUUCAGGAAACUGGGGCUAAUACCGGAUAGGAGCUCCUGCUGCAUGGUGGGGGUUGGAAAGUUUCGGCGGUUGGGGAUGGACUCGCGGCUUAUCAGCUUGUUGGUGGGGUAGUGGCUUACCAAGGCUUUGACGGGUAGCCGGCCUGAGAGGGUGACCGGCCACAUUGGGACUGAGAUACGGCCCAGACUCCUACGGGAGGCAGCAGUGGGGAGUAUUGCACAAUGGGCGGAAGCCUGAUGCAGCAACGCCGCGUGCGGGAUGACGGCCUUCGGGUUGUAAACCACUGUCGCCUGUGACGAAGCGUGAGUGACGGUAAUGGGUAAAGAAGCACCGGCUAACUACGUG
rnacentral:rRNA from 1 species